rnacentral:rRNA from 1 species
UAAGUAGGCGGUCUAUUAAGUGAGGGGUGAAAUCUUCCGGCUCAAUCGGAAAACUGCCCUUCAAACUAAUAAACUUGAGGUUGGAAGAGGGAAACGGAAUUAGCAGUGUAAGGGUGAAAUCUGUAGAUAUUGCUAAGAACACCAGCGGCGAAGGCGGUUUCCUGGUCCAAAUCUGACGCUAAAUUACGAAAGCUAGGGGAGCAAACAGGAUUAGAUACCCUGGUAGUCC